GUUAUUUCCGUUAUUUCCAUUAUUAUUUCCGUUAUUUCGUUUUUUUCUGUUAUUUCCAUUUUGUUCUUGACCUGUCACCUAACUUUCUGCCGUAAGUUUCUGUCUCUCUAGUGGUUCUUUCCGUUCUUUCCGUUAUUAUUUCCGUUCUUUCCGUUAUUUCCGUUGUUGUUCUUGACUUGUCACUUCAUUUUCUGCUCUAUGUUUCUGUCUCUGUGGAGGUUGUUUCCGUUAUUUCCAUUAUUUACGUUAUUAUUUCCGUUAUUAUUUCCGUUAUUUCCGUUAUUAUUUCUGUUAUUUCUGUUAUUUCCGUUAUUAUUUCUGUUAUUAUUACUGUUAUUUUCGUUAUUAUUUCCGUUAUUUCGUUUUUUUCUGUUAUUUCCGUUGUUGUUCUUGACCUGUCACCUAAUUUUUUGCCGUCUUUUUCUGUCUAUCUGGAGGUUCUUUCCGUUCUUAAUGUUCUUUCCGUUGUUGUUCUUGACCUGUCACCUACUUUUCCGCCAUAUGUUUCUGUCUCUCUGGAGGUUAUUUCCCUUAUUUCCGUUCUUUCCGUUCUUUCCGUUCUUUCCGUUAUUUCCGUUGUUGUUCUUGACCUGUCACCUAAUUUUCUGCCGUAUGUUUCUGUCUCUCUGGAGGUUAUUUCGGUUAUUUUUGAUAUUUCCGUUAUUUCCAAUCUUGUUCUUGGCCUGUCACCUAAUUUUCUGCUUUAUGGUUCUGUCUCUGUGGAGGUUAUUUCCUUUAUUUUCGUUUUUUUCCGUUAUGAUGUACGUUAUUUCUGUUAUGAUUUCCGUUAUUUAGGUUAUGAUUUCCGUUAUUUCGUUUUUUUCUGUUAUUUCCGUUUUUGUUCUUGACCUGUCACCUAACUUUCUGCCGUAUGUUUCUAUCUCUCUGGGGGUUAUUUCCGUUCUUUCCGUUCUUUCCGUUAUUUCCGUUAUUUUUGUUCUUUCCGUUCUUUCCGUUGUUGUUCUUGACCUGUCACGUAAUUUUCUGCUGUGUAUUUCUUUCUCUCUGGAGGUUAUUUCUGUUAUUUCCGUUAUUUCCGUUCUUUCCGGUAUUUUUGUUGUUGUUCUUGGCCUUUCACCUAAUUUUCUGCCAUGUUUCCAACUUUGUGGUGGUUAUUUCCGUUAUUUCUGUUAUUUCCGUUAUUUCCGUUGUUGUUAUUGACCUGUCACCUACUUUUCUGCCAUAUGUUUCUGUCUCUGUGGAGGUUAUUUCCUUUAUUUCUGUUAUUUCCGUUAUUUUCCUUACUUCCGUUAUUUUCAUUAUUUCAGUUAUUUUCGUUAUUUCCGUUGUUGUUUUUGGACUGUCACCUAAUUUUCUGCCGUAUGUUUCUGUCUCUCUGGAGGUUAUUUCCUUUAUUUCCGUGAUUACCGUUGUUGUUUUUGCCCUGUCACCUAAUUUUCUGCCGUAUGUUUCUGUCUCUCUGGAGUUUAUUUCCGUUAUUAUUUCUGUUAUUUCCGUUAUGAUUUCUGUUAGUUCCGUUAUGAUUUCCGUAAUUUCCAUUAUGAUUUCUGUUAUUUCGGAUUUUCUGUUAUUUCCGUUUUUGUUCUUGACCUGAC
rnacentral:lncRNA from 1 species